UGUGUCUGGUUCUUGUUGUCGAACCUGCUU
rnacentral:piRNA from 1 species